rnacentral:rRNA from 1 species
GGGCAACCUGCCUGUAAGACUGGGAUAACUUCGGGAAACCGGAGCUAAUACCGGAUAAUCCUUUUCUACUCAUGUAGAAAAGCUGAAAGACGGUUUACGCUGUCACUUACAGAUGGGCCCGCGGCGCAUUAGCUAGUUGGUGAGGUAACGGCUCACCAAGGCGACGAUGCGUAGCCGACCUGAGAGGGUGAUCGGCCACACUGGGACUGAGACACGGCCCAGACUCCUACGGGAGGCAGCAGUAGGGAAUCUUCCGCAAUGGACGAAAGUCUGACGGAGCAACGCCGCGUGAGUGAUGAAGGUUUUCGGAUCGUAAAACUCUGUUGUUAGGGAAGAACAAGUACGAGAGUAACUGCUCGUACCUUGACGGUACCUAACCAAAAAGCCACGGCUAACUACGUGCCAGCAGCCGCGGUAAUACGUAGGUGGCAAGCGUUGUCCGGAAUUAUUGGGCGUAAAGCGCGCGCAGGCGGUCCUUUAAGUCUGAUGUGAAAGCCCACGGCUCAAGCGUGGAGGGUCAUUGGAAACUGGGGGACUUGAGUGCGCAACAGA